rnacentral:tRNA from 1 species
GCUGGUGUAGCACAAUGGUAGUGCAGCGGUAUCGUAAACCGCAGGUUGCCCGUUCGAUCCGGGUCACCAGCUCCA